CUUUAUUAUAUUUGUGAGAAGUAUUUAUGAAAAUAUAAAUAAUUCUUUCAAUUGUAGGUUGAUAUUGCUUAAAAUGAUCAAUGAUUCACUUACUGUGUACUAAGAAUUGCUUUAAAUUCUUUGCAUAAAUAAUUACUUUAAUUCUCAGAACAACCCUAUGCAGUAUUGUUAUUAUCAUUAUUCUAAUUUUGCAGAUGAAAAUUGUGGCAGAGAAUGUAAGUAACUUACUCAAGAUCAAAGACCUGGUGGAUGGAAAAGAUAGAAAUUUUAAGUCAUGUAGCUCCCAGUUUCUGUACUUUUAACCAUGGACACUACUGGAUUUUCAUAAGGUAGGAGUUUUGGGGGCCAGGGCCAAAACUCUAUUCCCAAAUGAGGCCAAUUAUUCUAUUUUUGGUAAAAUUCAUUUUUAUAGAUGGCUGUUAUAGAAUAUGAGAUUUUAAGUCUAUUAGAGAAAGAUUAUCAACUUUGAAGUCAGCUAAAAUGGGCUUGAAUUCUCUUUUUUAUAAGUAACAUAUUGUAUGACUAAAUUUGAAUCUUUUUCUUCAUUUCUCUGGCCCCGUUUCUUUGCUCUCAUGAGGAUUAGAACAGUGACAUAUAAAAGGUGUAGCCUGAAGAAGUAAAGGAUUGAUGUCCUUGGUCUAAGGCUGGAAAAAAGCUAGAUUUUACUAGAACCAAGCAUGGGAGAGGAAGAAACACUCGCCACCAUGUCACAGACAACUCCUACUUGCUAUAUUUUCUGAAAGUUUGUUCUUCUUUGUGAGUAUACAUAGCCAGUUCAAGUUCCAUGAGAUUAAUGAAAUGCUUACAUAAAUUAUUGUAAUUGGAGAUUAUAUCUAUUGACAAAAGACUCUGCUGAAUAUUUCAAUGCAACUAGGAUUACAUUUUUGUCUUAACUCAUCUGCCUUUUCAGACAUACCAUAAGGAAACCUACAAAACUUUUGAAAAUAGAGAAAAAUCCUAUGCAGCACCAAGAGUACAUUUUGAGUAUUAAUACAUGUGGUCAGUUUGAAGGAGUAUAAC